GACGAACGCUGGCGGCGUGCCUAAUACAUGCAAGUAGAACGCUGAAGGAGGAGCUUGCUUCUCUGGAUGAGUUGCGAACGGGUGAGUAACGCGUAGGUAACCUGCCUGGUAGCGGGGGAUAACUAUUGGAAACGAUAGCUAAUACCGCAUAAUAUUGAUUAUUGCAUGAUAGUCAAUUAAAAGGUGCUAUUGCAUCACUACCAGAUGGACCUGCGUUGUAUUAGCUAGUUGGUGAGGUAACGGCUCACCAAGGCGACGAUACAUAGCCGACCUGAGAGGGUGAUCGGCCACACUGGGACUGAGACACGGCCCAGACUCCUACGGGAGGCAGCAGUAGGGAAUCUUCGGCAAUGGACGGAAGUCUGACCGAGCAACGCCGCGUGAGUGAAGAAGGUUUUCGGAUCGUAAAGCUCUGUUGUAAGAGACAGAACGAGUGUGAGAGUGGAAAGUUCACACUGUGACGGUAUCUUACCAG
rnacentral:rRNA from 1 species